UAUGUAUGCUGUUUUGGAUCUCGUAACCAGCCUCUAUAACCAGGCAGAGCGCAUGCGUGAAAUAAAUUUCCAUCGAGAUCGGAAAACAGCAGAGAGGAAAUUCGGAAUAUAUAAUGGAAACUAGUAAUGCGGAAUGAUACUAUAGUCAGAUGCAGAAAUUUUUGCAUAAUUCGAUCAACUUUUAUUUAAAAAAGCAGAAGAAUAAAUGAAUCAACUUUACAUGUAAGCCUGUCAAGGAGGAAGCAAAGGAUAUAGAAACUUAUAACAAUGGACAAAGAUUUAUAAUUGUGUGGAACUAUCUUUACAUUGUAAAUGCCAAUGUAUCCUGAUUCCUCUAUUGCAUAAAUCGAGAGAAAUCUAAAAAUUCCAUUAUGUUGUUUACUUGUUCCAGAGAAAAUGUGAAGAUAUACAUAUCUACAUAAUUAAUCAAUAAAGUGUGAAAUUUUAAAAAUUAUCAUAAAAGAAGAGCAACCAACACAAAGUUCAAAUUUCUUCUAUGUUCAUGACAGUAGAACAGUAGGAUAAUAGUGCCAAAAUUUGUGUUCUACAAACCCUAGCUGUCAUGUUGUCAAGAAGGAGACCCAGUGUAUUUUCACUGCAUGGAAAUGAUAUGGAAUGUCUUUAA